CAAUUUUCACAAAGUAUCGGGUUGUUGAGCGUUGCGGACGUGUGCUGAUCUGAACGCGGGCGUCAAUCGGAUAUUAGAGAGUCAAAUACCAAGGCAAAAAGAAGCAAUUCAAUAAAAUCGCUAGUACAUAGUACACAGCCCUAAGCAAUUGGUUAACUGGCGCUGAGAAUAAAAAUUAAAAGAAAUUUUGUUUGGUAAACAAAUAAAUUGCAGCAAUUAAAAUAUAAGUCAAUCCUUCAUCAGCAAAAGCAAACGAUUGUGAAAAAAUAUGGCAGGCGCCAACAGCUGACAAGUUAUGAUAAAACAAAAAAUCUAAAUUGCCAAUUGAUGGUAACCGCAAUAAACUAAAUCGCACUAAAAAUUCCGAACAGACAGGUGUGCAAUAUCAUCGCCGUUCGUAAAAAUACCAACAAACCAACACAAGCAUACAUACAUGAUAAAUGUGCACACACAUAAGUAUAUACAAACUAUUAGCAAAUGUGUGGAAACUGAGUAUGUUUCAAAGAUAAGCAUAAUUUUAACAAAAUCGUGAAUUGUGGAAAAAUAUCGUGAAAAGUAAAAGUGAAAAAAAAUAAUAUAAAGGAAAAAUAAAAGUAAUAAUAAUUUCUGAAAAAUCUUAUUCGAUAAAUAAUGAUAUACGUCCAAGACAUAAAUGAAAAAUGUGAAGAAAUAAUAUUGUUGGUGUAAAAAAUAGGUGCAAAUAGCAGAAAAAAGCUAGCAAUUUACAACAAAAAUUAUGAGAAACGGAUUAUGAGAAAAAAAUUCGACGGACAAAAUUCAGCGUAAAACACGACAAUCUGAAAAAACGAUUGAUUAAAUGCAGCUGUGUGCCACUAAUGAAAUUUUGGUAGAAAAGCUGCAGUUAUAUUGAGCUUAUAACUUAACGGAUAAUUAAACAAACAACAAUAUCAACAUAUAAAGAAUUAAGUUGAUGGAAAAAGUUAUAAGUUAAAAUAACUAAAAAAUUUGAAAUCCACAAACCCAACUAUAAAAUUUAUCUCAAAAACAUAAUCAAAGUGUAUAAGUGUAAAUUAUUCUAAUUAUUUAUAAAAAAAUAAAAAUAUUAAUUAAAUCUAAAAAAUUAUUUUAAGUGCAACAAAUAGUGUAACCUUAACCCAACAUUAGCAGCAAGUAAAAAUAUAGUGUACUCUUAGUAAAUAUCAACAGGAAAACACCAAAAACUCCAACAGGAUGUCUGAAACGCAAGACAACAACGGCGAUCAGCCGCUGCAGGACGAGGCUGGCGGCAGUGAGAAUAAAAUGAAAUCACGCCUACGUAAAGGCGCGCUAAAGAAGAAAAAUAUUUUCGCCGUUAAAGAUCAUUGCUUUAUACCGCGUUUCUUCAAGCAGCCAACAUUCUGUUCGCAUUGCAAGGAUUUUAUUUGGUGGCGAUAUGCAAUGGCAGAAUG